rnacentral:lncRNA from 1 species
CUGAGAAUGACAUCAGUGGUGUGGAAAGGAAACAAGACUGACAGUUUGUGGGGGAAGGGCCCAACUGGGAGUGGCAGUUGGGUCUUGUGACUAGCACUUCCUUCCUGCCGGGAGGGGCAGUUGGGUCGGGAGACUAGUGCUUCCUUCCGGCAGUGUGGGACUGCCUUCCUGGUGUUGGAGGAGAGAGGAGCUUGUUCAGCCCAGUCUGGAGUGGCAUACUCUUCUUGGUUCAGCCCAAAGACACAGGCUUCUAAAGAUGAGUAUGGCCUGUCAGAGCUUACAUUUGGCUGGCCCAUCCUUACAGAACGCACAUACAGAGGAGGAAUCUGUCUGUGGAGGGCCAUCUUGCUCCUGAAGAAAGGUAACCUAGAAAAUGUUGGCAAUUAUUGCCCCGUCAGUCUCCAUCUGCAAAUCUACAAGCUGUUCACACGUACCAUACUUUCAUGCAUUAACAAGGACCCAGAGAAUCUCACCAGUCACAGGCAAGCAGGCCUUUGGCCAGCUUUUCAACCAUCUGUCACAUAUAUGCAGCCCAGCAACAUAAAGAAAAAUGUAAAGAAUACCAAGAGCCCCCAGUCUAUGCAUUUGUGUAUUACUGAAAUGCACUGGACUCGUUGGAAACAAUAACCUUCCAUGUAGUCGUCUUUUAAUGAAUUCGGAUGUAGUUGAAUGAGUGCACCUUGCCUUCAUGAGCACAGAGCUCUGAGUUCACUACCCAUAGUGAAUAUCCAUCACUGCCUCAUGUAGCUUAGCAACCCUUGGAAAAUGUUUCUGAGAACCGGUGGGAAUCCACGUUAACAGAGACCUGCCCAGGGCAUCUGAGUCUGGG